AGUGAACGCUGGCGGUAGGCCUAACACAUGCAAGUCGAACGGCAGCACAGUAAGAGCUUGCUCUUACGGGUGGCGAGUGGCGGACGGGUGAGGAAUACAUCGGAAUCUACUUUUUCGUGGGGGAUAACGUAGGGACACUUACGCUAAUACCGCAUACGACCUACGGGUGAAAGCAGGGGAUCUUCGGACCUUGCGCGAUUGAAUGAGCCGAUGUCGGAUUAGCUAGUUGGCGGGGUAAAGGCCCACCAAGGCGACGAUCCGUAGCUGGUCUGAGAGGAUGAUCAGCCACACUGGAACUGAGACACGGUCCAGACUCCUACGGGAGGUAGCAGUGGGGAAUAUUGGACAAUGGGCGCAAGCCUGAUCCAGCCAUACCGCGUGGGUGAAGAAGGCCUUCGGGUUGUAAAGCCCUUUUGUUGGGAAAGAAAAGCAGCAGGUUAAUACCCCGCUGUUCUGACGGUACCCAAAGAAUAAGCACCGGCUAACUUCGUG
rnacentral:rRNA from 1 species